UACGUAGGGUGCAAGCGUUGUCCGGAAUUAUUGGGCGUAAAGAGCUCGUAGGCGGCUCGUCGCGUCGGCUGUGAAAACCCGGGGCUCAACCCCGGGCCUGCAGUCGAUACGGGCGGGCUAGAGUCCGGUAGGGGAGACUGGAAUUCCUGGUGUAGCGGUGAAAUGCGCAGAUAUCGGGAAGAACACCCGUGGCGAAGGCGGCUCUCUGGGACGGUACUGACGCUGAGACGCGAAAGCGUGGGGAGCGAACAGG
rnacentral:rRNA from 1 species